AUUGAAAAAUGUGUUUCAAUAUUUCGUAAAUAUUGAUUACUUUUGUGUAUAUAUUUCUUAACAUUUGGUUAAAAAUAACGGACAAUGGUACACAGAAAACAUUAAAUGAAACAUUAUUCACUGGGGUAAAGAAAUGCGCGAUAAAGACGACGAUAAAACGUGAACACAUUCAUGCAUUCAAUACCAAAGUCAACAGUCAUCUUCGAAUCGUAUUUGGAUUCUUGGCAUCUUAUAAAAAGAUAUUCAGUUUGUUCUGAUGCACUUAGUAGCUGUGUAUGGUGAACUGUGGAUGUAAGUAUUUUUCUAUCAUUGAAUGAUUGAUUCUACUAUAUUACUGUAUAAGUCGAAAUGUUGCAGUAUUAAAGGGGCAAAUCAUUCUUAAUACAAUGUAAUUAGUUAUUAUUGCAAAUUUACAAAAUUAUAUCAAGAGAUCAAUUUCCUCUACCCAAUUUUAGUACAGAUAUCAAUACAUUAUUUCUUGCUUCAAUGUUAUAAUAUUAUUAUUUUAAUGCUUCUUGGUAUUAAUAUUAAUGAGGUUGUUUUUGUGCUGCAUUUUAGGGACUGUAAUCACAUGUCAAGGCCUACCAAGUUUGAAAGCUUAUUUUGGGCCGAAUAUGUUUACCGAAUGUACCACUUGGAGCAAUAGGACAAGAAUACAGUUACAGAUUAUUUUAUUUUACCAUUGAAUCAUGUAAUUUGGUAUUGACAAUUGAUUGUAUACAAAAAAAUUGGUAACCGUAUUAAAAUGUUGGUCUGCAUGCCCCUUUGGUAAGCACAAUGAGUGCCAUCACUGCCGUCUGCAUCUUUAAAAAUCCUUGUUAGCAGCAAGUGGGUUCAGCAAAGAAAAUGAUGGAAAAUUUAGCUAUACAAAUUGAGAACUGGAUUGGGAUGUCCUGUUAACACUCAGGAACAUCUUUUAAACCAACCAUCAAACUGCGGGAAAACCAAAUGGUGAUGCAAGACAUAACAGCAUUUGGACGGAAUGGUAGAAAAAUCAAAAUUUAAAAGGAUUCUUAUUAUAAACAAGUAAAUCUUGAAAAAGAAAUGACUUCACAUGACAAUUGAUGAUGAGGGAUGCCCAGCACAAUUUUAAUUGUCUAAAAUAUCGAGUAUAGUGUAUAUCUUAACAGUUGGUAGUUCAUAUUUGAUAACUUAUACUUUAUAGACGUUUUCCCGAAAUGUGGUAUUUUUCAUCUUUGAAAAAAGAUAAUUCUUUACCAAUUUGACCAAACUGGCUGAAAUUUUCAGUGUUAAUAGAUCUCAUCAUGAUAAGUGUUUUCAGCGAUAGAAUUUGGCAUAUGUUGUAAUGCUGCCAUUUUAUCGAGGAAAUAUGCCAGGAUUUUUGGAAGAAAAUCGAACCAAAAUUUUGCAGCAAUGUUGUGCAAAAACUACAUUCAGCAUAAAAAAUUCCAUCGCUGAAAACAAUCUACUUGCUUUGUAGUCAACAAAUAGCUCUUAGUGGUAAAAUUUCAUUAAAAUGGUAAGGCUGUAUUUUUUCCCAACUAACAGUGAUUUGUAUGAGACACACACUGUGUUUAAUUACUAGAUGGCAGGAUAAAUAUUAAAGGUAUG